rnacentral:rRNA from 1 species
UACGUAGGGGGCUAGCGUUGUCCGGAUUUAUUGGGCGUAAAGAGCGUGUAGGCGGCCAGGCAGGUCCGCUGUGAAAACUCGAGGCUCAACCUCGAGAUGUCGGCGGAAACCAUCUGGCUAGAGUCCGGAAGAGGAGAGUGGAAUUCCUGGUGUAGCGGUGAAAUGCGCAGAUAUCAGGAAGAACACCCGUGGCGAAGGCGGCUCUCUGGGACGGUACUGACGCUGAGACGCGAAAGCGUGGGGAGCGAACAGG